rnacentral:rRNA from 1 species
UGCCAGCCGCCGCGGUAACACGGGGGGCGCAAGCGUUAUUCGGAAUUACUGGGCGUAAAGCGCACGUAGGCGGACUGGAAAGUUGGGGGUGAAAUCCCAGGGCUCAACCCUGGAACUGCCUCCAAAACUAUCAGUCUAGAGUUCGAGAGAGGUGAGUGGAAUUCCGAGUGUAGAGGUGAAAUUCGUAGAUAUUCGGAGGAACACCAGUGGCGAAGGCGGCUCACUGGCUCGAUACUGACGCUGAGGUGCGAAAGUGUGGGGAGCCAACAGGAUUCGAUA